rnacentral:piRNA from 1 species
UAGUAAAUUGCUACACCUUGGUUCGC